AGAGUUUGAUCCUGGCUCAGGAUGAACGCUAGCGGCAGGCUUAACACAUGCAAGUCGAGGGGCAGCGCGGGUAGCAAUACCUGGCGGCGACCGGCAAACGGGUGCGGAACACGUACAGAACCUACCUUUGUCUGGGGCGUAGCCCGGAGAAAUCCGGAUUAACUCCCCAUAAUAUAUUUGAGUGGCAUCACUUGGAUAUUAAAAAUUUAUUGGACAGAGAUGGCUGUGCGUCCCAUUAGCUAGUUGGUAGGGUAACGGCCUACCAAGGCAACGAUGGGUAGCUGGUGUGAGAGCACGACCAGCCACACGGGCACUGAGACACGGGCCCGACUCCUACGGGAGGCAGCAGUGAGGAAUAUUGGUCAAUGGACGCAAGUCUGAACCAGCCAUGCCGCGUGAAGGAUGAAGGCCUUCUGGGUUGUAAACUUCUUUUACCUGGGAAGAAAACUACGAUUUCUAUCGUAGCCGACGGUACCAGAGGAAUAAGCACCGGCUAACUCCGUGCCAGCAGCCGCGGUAAUACGGAGGGUGCAAGCGUUAUCCGGAUUUACUGGGUUUAAAGGGUGUGUAGGCGGGCUUUUAAGUCAGUGGUGAAAUCUCCGGGCUCAACCUGGAAACUGCCAUUGAUACUAUUAGUCUUGAAUUUUGUUGAGGUAGGCGGAAUAAGUCAUGUAGCGGUGAAAUGCUUAGAUAUGACUUAGAACACCAAUUGCGAAGGCAGCUUGCUAAACAAAUAUUGACGCUGAGGCACGAAAGCGUGGGGAUCAAACAGGAUUAGAUACCCUGGUAGUCCACGCCCUAAACGAUGAUUACUCGACAUACGCGAUACACAGUGUGUGUCUGAGCGAAAGCAUUAAGUAAUCCACCUGGGAAGUACGACCGCAAGGUUGAAACUCAAAGGAAUUGACGG
rnacentral:rRNA from 1 species